rnacentral:tRNA from 1 species
GCGCCGAUAGUCUAGUGGUUAAGACUCCGCUUUCCCAUAAUGGAUUAAUCCACUAUCAAGCGGCAGCCCGGGUUCGAACCCCGGUCGGCGCA